GAUGAACGCUGGCGGCGUGCCUAAUACAUGCAAGUCGAGCGAACGGACGAGAAGCUUGCUUCUCUGAUGUUAGCGGCGGACGGGUGAGUAACACGUGGAUAACCUACCUAUAAGACUGGGAUAACUUCGGGAAACCGGAGCUAAUACCGGAUAAUAUUUUGAACCGCAUGGUUCAAAAGUGAAAGACGGUCUUGCUGUCACUUAUAGAUGGAUCCGCGCUGCAUUAGCUAGUUGGUAAGGUAACGGCUUACCAAGGCAACGAUGCAUAGCCGACCUGAGAGGGUGAUCGGCCACACUGGAACUGAGACACGGUCCAGACUCCUACGGGAGGCAGCAGUAGGGAAUCUUCCGCAAUGGGCGAAAGCCUGACGGAGCAACGCCGCGUGAGUGAUGAAGGUCUUCGGAUCGUAAAACUCUGUUAUUAGGGAAGAACAUAUGUGUAAGUAACUGUGCACAUCUUGACGGUACCUAAUCAGAAAGCCACGGCUAACUACGUGCCAGCAGCCGCGGUAAUACGUAGGUGGCAAGCGUUAUCCGGAAUUAUUGGGCGUAAAGCGCGCGUAGGCGGUUUUUUAAGUCUGAUGUGAAAGCCCACGGCUCAACCGUGGAGGGUCAUUGGAAACUGGAAAACUUGAGUGCAGAAGAGGAAAGUGGAAUUCCAUGUGUAGCGGCGAAAUGCGCAGAGAUAUGGAGGAACACCAGUGGCGAAGGCGACUUUCUGGUCUGUAACUGACGCUGAUGUGCGAAAGCGUGGGGAUCAAACAGGAUUAGAUACCCUGGUAGUCCACGCCGUAAACGAUGAGUGCUAAGUGUUAGGGGGUUUCCGCCCCUUAGUGCUGCAGCUAACGCAUUAAGCACUCCGCCUGGGGAGUACGACCGCAAGGUUGAAACUCAAAGGAAUUGACGGGGACCCGCACAAGCGGUGGAGCAUGUGGUUUAAUUCGAAGCAACGCGAAGAACCGUACCAAAUCUUGACAUCCUUUGACAACUCUAGAGAUAGAGCUUUCCCCUUCGGGGGACAAAGUGGCAGGUGGUGCAUGGUUGUCGUCAGCUCGUGUCGUGAGGUGUUGGGUUAAGUCCCGCAACGAGCGCAACCCUUAAGCUUAGUUGCCAUCAUUAAGUUGGGCACUCUAAGUUGACUGCCGGUGACAAACCGGAGGAAGGUGGGGAUGACGUCAAAUCAUCAUGCCCCUUAUGAUUUGGGCUACACACGUGCUACAAUGGACAAUACAAAGGGCAGCGAAACCGCGAGGUCAAGCAAAUCCCAUAAAGUUGUUCUCAGUUCGGAUUGUAGUCUGCAACUCGACUACAUGAAGCUGGAAUCGCUAGUAAUCGUAGAUCAGCAUGCUACGGUGAAUACGUUCCCGGGUCU
rnacentral:rRNA from 1 species